rnacentral:rRNA from 1 species
CUGGCUCAGGAUGAACGCUGGCGGCGUGCUUAACACAUGCAAGUCGAACGAUGAAGCCCAGCUUGCUGGGUGGAUUAGUGGCGAACGGGUGAGUAACACGUGAGUAACCUGCCCUUGACUCUGGGAUAAGCCUGGGAAACUGGGUCUAAUACCGGAUAGGAACGUCCACCGCAUGGUGGGUGUUGGAAAGAUUUAUCGGUCAUGGAUGGACUCGCGGCCUAUCAGCUUGUUGGUGAGGUAAUGGCUCACCAAGGCGACGACGGGUAGCCGGCCUGAGAGGGUGACCGGCCACACUGGGACUGAGACACGGCCCAGACUCCUACGGGAGGCAGCAGUGGGGAAUAUUGCACAAUGGGCGAAAGCCUGAUGCAGCGACGCCGCGUGAGGGAUGACGGCCUUCGGGUUGUAAACCUCUUUCAGUAGGGAAGAAGCGAAAGUGACGGUACCUGCAGAAGAAGCACCGGCUAACUACGUGCCAGCAGCCGCGGUAAUACGUAGGGUGCGAGCGUUAUCCGGAAUUAUUGGGCGUAAAGAGCUCGUAGGCGGUUUGUCGCGUCUGUCGUGAAAGUCCGGGGCUUAACCCCGGAUCUGCGGUGGGUACGGGCAGACUAGAGUGCAGUAGGGGAGACUGGAAUUCCUGGUGUAGCGGUGGAAUGCGCAGAUAUCAGGAGGAACACCGAUGGCGAAGGCAGGUCUCUGGGCUGUAACUGACGCUGAGGAGCGAAAGCAUGGGGAGCGAACAGGAUUAGAUACCUGGUAGUCCAUGCCGUAAACGUUGGGCACUAGGUGUGGGGACCAUUCCACGGUUUCCGCGCCGCAGCUAACGCAUUAAGUGCCCCGCCUGGGGAGUACGGCCGCAAGGCUAAAACUCAAAGGAAUUGACGGGGGCCCGCACAAGCGGCGGAGCAUGCGGAUUAAUUCGAUGCAACGCGAAGAACCUUACCAAGGCUUGACAUGUUCUCGAUCGCCGUAGAGAUACGGUUUCCCCUUUGGGGCGGGAUCACAGGUGGUGCAUGGUUGUCGUCAGCUCGUGUCGUGAGAUGUUGGGUUAAGUCCCGCAACGAGCGCAACCCUCGUUCCAUGUUGCCAGCACGUAAUGGUGGGGACUCAUGGGAGACUGCCGGGGUCAACUCGGAGGAAGGUGGGGACGACGUCAAAUCAUCAUGCCCCUUAUGUCUUGGGCUUCACGCAUGCUACAAUGGCCGGUACAAUGGGUUGCGAUACUGUGAGGUGGAGCUAAUCCCAAAAAGCCGGUCUCAGUUCGGAUUGGGGUCUGCAACUCGACCCCAUGAAGUCGGAGUCGCUAGUAAUCGCAGAUCAGCAACGCUGCGGUGAAUACGUUCCCGGGCCUUGUACACACCGCCCGUCAAGUCACGAAAGUCGGUAACACCCGAAGCCGGUGGCCUAACCCUUGUGGGGGGAGCCGUCGAAGGUGGGACCAGCGAUUGGG